ACAUCUUUCAGGUGGGAAACAAAGAGAAUAUACUCAAAAUGGAAUUUUGAACAUUUACCUAAUGCCUUAGUAAUAAAUCCAUUUCCUCCAUGGAAGAUAUGGUCUUUACUCAUUUAUGCAUGGACAGUGAAGUUCUUCUUUUCUUGGUGCAAAAUUUUGUCAUCUUCUUAUAAUUCUCUAGAUAUAAGUGAACCAGGACACCAGCUGAGUGCCAGUGUCUUCUGGACCUUACAAGCGAGAUGCAUCUAUGAAGUCUCAGCAAUAUAGAUGCUUAAGCAUAACCUUGCACAAUAACAGCACCAGUUGACUUGCCACUGUGGAAGGUAUGUAUCAGGGGAGGGUCUGAGAGCAGGAAGUUAGGUGUUCAUGUCAUGGAAGGGCAGGAUCUAAAACCCAGCAUGCUCAGUAAGAGGUUUGGCUCUCUUCCAAAGCACAAGUAGAGAAGUGAGGUCUCUGAGGAAAUACAAGAGGCAAGAGGCAGGUGACAGAUCUGCAAGAAAAUCCCUAGGAAAAAAAAAAUAGAACUGACUUUGUAAUCACAGCAGGUAAGC
rnacentral:lncRNA from 1 species